GCCAUAUCUUCUUGAAUAUACCGGUUCUCGUUAGAUCACCGAAGUCAAGCAUCAUUGGGCGCCAUCAGUAUUUGGGUGGGUGACCACCU